rnacentral:rRNA from 1 species
GGGUCAGUAGGUUGGUCGUGCCACCGGUACGUACUGGUCUCACUGAUUCCUCCUUCCUGAAGAACCGUAAUGCCAUUAAUUUGGUGUUGCGGGGAAAUAGGACUGUUACUUUGAAAAAAUUAGAGUGUUUAAAGCAAGCUAACGCUUGAAUACACUAGCAUGGAAUAAUGAAAUAGGACGAUCGAUCCUAUUUUGUUGGUUUCUAGGAUUGACGUA